rnacentral:hammerhead_ribozyme from 1 species
ACACUGCUGAAGAGUCCCAUAAUAGGAUGAAACGACCGUCCAGUGC